GAUAGAACGGCUUCAAGUGAUAGGCAAUCUCCAGGGAUCUGCAGUGAGAUGGCUGGUUGACUGGAAAUGCUUUCGAUUACUCCAGAGGGUAUCUGUCCUUGAAGAAGCCAUUCAUUGCCUAGAAAAUAAACAUAGAUGAAAUUAACAGUGAUCUCCAAUUGAUGCAGUGCUUUCAGACCAACAGACGCAGGCACGACAGUGAAGCCCACAGUGGAGGACCUGCUCUGGAUCCACGGACAGCCGAAGAUGGCCAGAGUUUGAGUGCCUCCUGCCCACAAAGCUGACUCCGGACAUCUUCCUCCUCGCCUGCAGAGCUCAGCCCUCUCCUUGCGGGGGGCGGGGUGGUUGGUCUCCCAAGGCUCAGUCAGUCACCCCAGGGCCAGCUUCCCCAACUCUGACCCAGCAGCUCCUCCCGGCUGGCCCACCGAGAUCUGUGCUCUCUGGAUUCAGAUGCCCAGUGGGUGGUUGCUGCCCUGGGAAAGCAGCAAGGAAUGGGCCAUCUACAACAGCGUUUUCAGGUCUGAAGACUGGGAGCUAGGAAAUAAGGAAAUCUGUUAAUUAAAGCACAACUGCUUUAUAGUAAUUGUAAAGGGCUUAAUUUUGGACUUCAGUAGAAAAAUAAGGUUCUGUAUCAAUGAAACUUAAUUGCCAUUCUAGUCUGAAUUAGAAACGUGCUUACUUAGACGUCCUUAUGAUUAUUUUAUAGGCCGAGAAACAUAUUUCAUCCUGGCAAAAAAAGUUACCAAUACUAACGAAUGAAACAGAACUAAGUUCAUUGUCUGAUAUGUUUACAGACGGUAGGAAAUUAAAGUAAUACGUUAUCAAUUUAAAUGUAGGGGGUAUAAUUCCCAUUCCAAUUUUCACUGCCAACUAUAAGAUGAUCUAUGUCAGGAGAAAUGACACUUAUGAUGGCAGUCUGUAUUUUCACUUUAAAUCUUAGGAGUCUAAAAUCCUAGAAUUUUAGAAAAAAAAACUCUUGCUUUUUUUUUCAGGCAAAUGUGAUAUAUCAGGAGGCAGCUUGAAAAAUUUUAGAGACUUUAUCCUUAUCUUUAAAAAACUGGAAGAAACUUAAAUGAGUUCUAAUCAAUAUUAUUUUCAAUGUGUUGAGAAAUGUGGCUGCUAGAGUUUCCUUUGGGAGGUUAUUUGGUAAUGACUCACCACAGGAAACGACUACACAUUAAUUUAAGAAUCGUUAAAAAAAAAAAAAAACACCUUGACAACCCACCCCACAUGGUAUGUGUGGUAUGAUGUAUCUCUAUACAUUUUGUUUUUAGACAUUUAAACACAGAUCGGAGUCCUCUUUUUUCCUCUUAUGAAAGUUCAAAUUCUCUCCAAUUUCCAGUAUCUUAAACACUCUCGGCACAAAUGCAAGUUUUAUUUUAACAAGAACAGGGCAUUCUUGAACUAGGCAUUCGCUCGCUACUCUAUCUACCUGUUUUGCCUCCAACACUGGAGAUGGUUUAACCACAAGUGUCUCUGUCUGUGCUGUGAGGACUUUAGUAGGAUUCUUGAAAUGAUACUCUUCAACUUCUACUUUCAGAUUGCUUACCACAGAAAUCGUUUUUGUUUCUAAAUCCAUCACUUUAAUUUGAUGAUUAUUGGUGUCUGCUACAUAUAAUAACUGGCCAUUCUCUCCAAUACACAAGCCUCCUGGUUCAUUAAAAGUUGACUCGGUAAAGCUGGAAGUGAUAACGUUACUUGCGUCUCCGGUUCCUGCUAAUGUUGUGCAGUUUUUUGUUUUGGGAUCCACAACUUUAAUCUAAAAACAAAGAACAAAGAAGUACACGUCUGAAGGCCAAUCUCAUGUUCGUAGGAAAGCGUAGUAUCAAGCAAACCAGAGAAUCGAUUGCCAUUAGCAUCCUUGCUAAAUGUCAGGAAAAGAAUAGGCAUUUCCGUAUUUUCUUGAAAAGCCAAGCAUUCAAAUUACAGUCUCAGGGGAGACACUCCAUUCUGAGAGCUAAAAACUAUGUAAAACUCCCAGUUACAUCUUAUCUUCCAGCAGCAAUCUUUGAUGAAAUAUUUCUGGAAUUAAAAAAAUAAAGUAAGAUUCUUUUCCUGACA